rnacentral:rRNA from 1 species
UAAGGAAUAUUGCACAAUGGGGGAAACCCUGAUGCAGCAACGCCGCGUGGGCGAUGAAGGCCUUCGGGCCGUAAAGCCCUUUUCUGGGGGAAGAGCAAGGACGGUACCCCAGGAAUAAGUCUCGGCUAACUACGUGCCAGCAGCCGCGGUAAUACAGAGGGUGCGAGCGUUAAUCGGAAUUACUGGGCGUAAAGCGAGUGUAGGUGGCUCAUUAAGUCACAUGUGAAAUCCCCGGGCUUAACCUGGGAACUGCAUGUGAUACUGGUGGUGCUAGAAUAUGUGAGAGGGAAGUAGAAUUCCAGGUGUAGCGGUGAAAUGCGUAGAGAUCUGGAGGAAUACCGAUGGCGAAGGCAGCUUCCUGGCAUAAUAUUGACACUGAGAUUCGAAAGCGUGGGUAGCAAACA